GGGGAAUAUUGCGCAAUGGGCGAAAGCCUGACGCAGCGACGCCGCGUGCGGGAUGAAGGCCUUCGGGUUGUAAACCGCUUUCAGCAGGGACGAAGCGAAAGUGACGGUACCUGCAGAAGAAGCACCGGCUAACUACGUGCCAGCAGCCGCGGUAAUACGUAGGGUGCAAGCGUUGUCCGGAUUUAUUGGGCGUAAAGAGCUCGUAGGCGGUCUGUCGCGUCGGAUGUGAAAACCCAGGGCUCAACCCUGGGCCUGCAUUCGAUACGGGCAGACUAGAGUACGGCAGGGGAGACUGGAAUUCCUGGUGUAGCGGUGAAAUGCGCAGAUAUCAGGAGGAACACCGGUGGCGACGGCGGGUCUCUGGGCCGUAACUGACGCUGAGGAGCGAAAGCGUGGGGAGCGAACA
rnacentral:rRNA from 1 species